rnacentral:misc_RNA from 1 species
GAAGCCUCGAACUUGAUGGAAAUGAUGAUGGGAUUGCUCAUGUAAACGAAACUGAUCACGAUGCCUUGUUUGGGCAAUUUCUGGAGAGUGAAGGGAAUUUGAAGGGUAGUCCACCAGCAGCUAAAUCUGUUAUUGAAAAUCUUCCAUUGGUGACUUUGAAGGACGAAGAGAACAAGAUAGCCUGUGCUGUUUGUAAAGAUGAGAUUUUGGUUGUCGAGAAGGUGACUGAGCUUCCUUGUUCCCAUUAUUACCAUUGGGAAUGUAUUAUACCAUGGCUAAACAUACGUAAUACAUGCCCUGUUUGUCGUCAUGAGUUACCCACGGAUGAUACUGAUUAUGAAAGGAGAAAAAUUGGAAGGCGUCCCGGUGCAGGAGCUCAACUCAGUAGUGACUUUCAGGUUAGAUACAAUUUUGAAAUUGUCCCCUGAGACUUUUUCUUGUUCAUACACAGAUAUCAUAGGAUGUGCAUAUU